CUGACUUAGCUAUCCGUGGUCCUGCCUUGCUGCCCUCUCUUUGGGAUCUGGCAUCAGACUUGAACAUGACAACUAAGCCUUCCAACGUGGCUGGCAGGAAGUGUGGCUGGUGAGAGCUACACUUCCAAGUAUGUCUUGCAGGGCGACACGAUGUGGUGUUGCUCCUAAAGAAUUUCAGGCAGUGCAUCUGGUAGAAAGCUGCAGAGAGAGCCUGAGUGAUUCAGGCCUUUUCUUAAGUUAAAAAAGCUGAGGUGCAGGAAUGGAAAACUCUUAGCCAAGUUGCAAGGUGAAGUGGUCUUGAUGGUAAAUUGCCUGGACUUAGAAGACACAGCAAGAGUCAAGGAGUGCAACUGUGGAAAGGAAAGGAAACAGAAAGGAAAAGAACAGGAAUCUUUGGAAGGAGCUCAUGAAAUAACAACCUUCCCUUUACAAUGUGUUUGUUUUCCCCAGUUAAGCAUAAUGGUCUGUGAUAUUUCUGUCCCAGGUUUUCACACAGAUACAUACCCAGCUCUGAUUCUGUGUAUUAAACACCGUUCUUUAUA